AUGGGGAUCAUUCCACAUGAGGUGCAGCUGGUGGAGUCCAGGGGAGACUUGGUGCUGACUGUGGGGACUCUGAGACUCUCCUGUGUAGCCUCUGGAUUCACCUUCAGGAACAACUGGAUGAUCUGGGUCCAGCAGGCUCCAGGGAAGGGCUGGAGUGGGUUGGUUUGAAAAGACAUCGUGCUGGUGGCCUCACAGAAGAGUCUGCUGGGCCUGUGAAAGGCAGAUUUACUGUUUCCAGUGAUUAUUCCAAGAACACACUGCAUCUGCAAAUACACAGUGUGGCCCCUGAGGACACAGGCGUUCAUUACUGUGUGAGACACAGAGAGGGUAUCUCAGUGCAAGCUCAGACACAGACCUCCCUGCAAGUGCACACAGGGCCACCAGGUCAUACAGGGAACCCGCAGCAGGCAGCGGUCCAGUCCCAGAG